UACGAAGGGGGCUAGCGUUGCUCGGAAUUACUGGGCGUAAAGGGCGCGUAGGCGGGUCGUUUAGUUAGAGGUGAAAGCCCAGGGCUCAACCCUGGAAUUGCCUUUAAUACUGGCGGCCUUGAGUAUGGCAGAGGUGUGUGGAACUCCGAGUGUAGAGGUGAAAUUCGUAGAUAUUCGGAAGAACACCAGUGGCGAAGGCGACACACUGGGCCAUUACUGACGCUGAGGCGCGAAAGCGUGGGGGGCGAACAGG
rnacentral:rRNA from 1 species